rnacentral:lncRNA from 1 species
AUAUAUGCAAUAUUACAAUGUGAAUUAAUGUAGUGUUGGAGAUGGUGGGACUUCUCCAUCCAAAGAGGAUCCCCAUUGAUAUAGAUAGAGUUUGGUUAAAGAAAGCACAUGCGUCCAACUUUCUUUCAAAAAAUAUCUUUUACCUAUAUAAUAAGAUGCAGAAAGAUCCAUCAUAAAUCAUCAUAGAUCUAUUUAUGAAUGGUAAAUAUUUAGUGCUGUCAAUGAUCUUGCUCCUAAAAUCAUC